GUGCUAAAAAAAUUUCCCAAUAAUAAGGCACCAUGUCAUGCAGCCGUUUAACAAUGUAUGCUCUGCGCCCUCACAUGAAUACUAGACUACUAAUACAACGUCCCAUAAUCAU